CCCUUAGAUGUUCUGGGCCGCACGCGCGCUACACUGAUGCAUUCAACGAGUCCAACCUUGACCGAGAGGUCCGGGUAAUCUUUGAAACUGCAUCGUGAUGGGGCUAGAUUAUUGCAAUUAUUAAUCUUCAACGAGGAAUGCCUAGUAAGCGUGAUUCAUCAAAUCGCGUUGAUUACGUCCCUGCCCUUUGUACACACCGCCCGUCGCUCCUACCGAUUGAGUGUGUUGGUGAGGAGUUUGGAUUGGCCUCGGAGGGUGGUUCGCCACCGUCCGUAGCUGAGAAGUUCUCCAAACCGCCCCACUUAGAGGAAGGAGAAGUCGUAACA
rnacentral:rRNA from 1 species